AAAUAGAUACCCCAGGUAGUCCACGCCGUAAACGAUGAGUGCUAAGUGUUAGGGGGGUUUCCGCCCCUUAGUGGCUGCAGCUAACGCACUAAGCACUCCGCCUGGGGAGUACGGUCGCAAGACUGAAACUCAAAGGAAUUGACGGGGGCCCGCACAAGCGGUGGAGCAUGUGGUUUAAUUCGAAGCAACGCGAAGAACCUUACCAGGUCUUGACAUCCCACUGACCGCUAUGGAGACAUAGUUUUCCCUUCGGGGACAGUGGUGACAGGUGGUGCAUGGUUGUCGUCAGCUCGUGUCGUGAGAUGUUGGGUUAAGUCCCGCAACGAGCGCAACCCUUGAUCUUAGUUGCCAUCAUUUAGUUGGGCACUCUAAGGUGACUGCCGGUGACAAACCGGAGGAAGGUGGGGAUGACGUCAAAUCAUCAUGCCCCUUAUGACCUGGGCUACACACGUGCUACAAUGGACGGUACAAACGGUUGCCAACCCGCGAGGGGGAGCUAAUCCGAUAAAACCGUUCUCAGUUCGGAUUGUAGCUGCAACUCGCUAC
rnacentral:rRNA from 1 species